GCAUCAUGUUCUAAAUGGCAGUGCAUCCGUCGCAAUGGCCCGAAAGCUUUUGAAGAAGCUCGCAUCAGUGACCUGCAAGGGAGGAGGCAUCGACGCAGGACAUAGAGACUGCACAGUUCUCAACUGGUGCCUUCACUCCUGAGUACUGUGAGUGAGCGAGGACGCGUCUUGCAAUACCAAACCUCGUCAGCCGUUUGAAAGAAGUCCACAGCUUGGCGGAGGAGGGCCUGCCUGCUAUGCAUCAGCGUGCUCAGCUGCACCCAGGCGAGCCUGAAAGAUUGGCCCAGGGCAUCGGAGGUCUGCGUUGUCCCUCCCUCCGACCCGGCCUCAGCAUCGACGCCUUCCAGGAGGAUGGCGACGAUGACCUGCGACCCUCCCGCCCGCACAUCUAUGGAGCCGGCGGGGGUCUUCGGGAUCUCACGCUGCGCCAUCUCCCGCGUCGCGCGACGUGGAAGGAGCCUUUGUUCCAUGAGAAGUGCCGGGGGCCACUUCUGCUCCGGGGCAUGUAGUCAACGUGGCGCUCUCGCCAUUGCUUCGGGACUCAGUGCUCAUCCCACAACCCCCCCCCCCCCCGACUGUCAGCAGAGUGAA